AGAAAAAGAAAAAAGAAAAAUUCUGUCAUCUGCAGCAACAUGGAGGAUAUUAUGUUAAGUGAAAUAGGUCAGGAACAGAAAGUUGAACACCACAUGUACUCAUAUGUGGAAGCUAAAAAUGUUGAUCUCAUAGAAGUAAAGAGUAGAACAGAGUAUAAUUAAGGCUGG